rnacentral:rRNA from 1 species
CAAGAGCGUAUAUUAAAGUUGCUGCGGUUAAAAAGCUCGUAGUUGGAUUUCAGUCUAGGAAGGUUAACUCGCCGAAAGGUUGUACGUUGAUUUUCCUCAGACUUCGUCAGAAGCUCGUGCUGCACUUAACUGUGUGGUACGAUGUUCUGACCUUUUACCUUGAGGAAAGUAGAGUGUUUCAGGCAGGCUACCCAGCUUGAAUACAUUAGCAUGGAAUAAUGAAAUGGAUCUCGGUUCGAUUUCGUUGGUUCUAGAGCUGAGGUGAUGAUCAAUCGGAACAGGCGAAGGUAUUCGUACUUGAGAGUGAGGAGUGAAAUCCGAUGAUCUCUUAAAGACGAUCCGAGGCGAAAGCAUUUGUCAAGGAUGUUUUCAUUGA